rnacentral:rRNA from 1 species
UACGGGGGGGGCAAGCGUUGUUCGGAAUUACUGGGCGUAAAGGGCUCGUAGGCGGCCGACUAAGUCAGACGUGAAAUCCCUCGGCUUAACCUGGGAACUGCGUCUGAUACUGGAGGGCUUGAGUGCGGGAGAGGGAUGUGGAAUUCCAGGUGUAGCGGUGAAAUGCGUAGAUAUCUGGAGGAACACCGGUGGCGAAGGCGGCAUCCUGGACCGACACUGACGCUGAGGCGCGAAAGCUAGGGUAGCAAACGGG